rnacentral:rRNA from 1 species
UACGGGGGGGGUAAGCGUUGUUCGGAAUUACUGGGCGUAAAGGGCUCGUAGGCGGCCAACUAAGUCAGACGUGAAAUCCCUCAGCUUAACUGGGGAACUGCGUCUGAUACUGGAUGGCUUGGAUUCGGGAGAGGAAUGCGGAAUUCCAGGUGUAGCGGUGAAAUGCGUAGAUAUCUGGAGGAACACCGGUGGCGAAGGCGGCAUUCUGGACCGACAUUGACGCUGAGGAGCGAAAGCGUGGGUAGCAAACAGG